AUGGGGGAAACCCUGACCGAGCAACGCCGCGUGAAGGAAGAAGUAAUUCGUUAUGUAAACUUCUGUCAUAGAGGAAGAAGGUGGAUAUAGGGAAUGAUAUCCAAGUGAUGGUACUCUAUAAGAAAGCCACGGCUAACUACGUGCCAGCAGCCGCGGUAAUACGUAGGUGGCGAGCGUUAUCCGGAAUUAUUGGGCGUAAAGAGGGAGCAGGCGGCACUAAGGGUCUGUGGUGAAAGAUCGAAGCUUACUUCGGUAAGCCAUGGAAACCGUAGAGCUAGAGUGUGUGAGAGGAUCGUGGAAUUCCAUGUGUAGCGGUGAAAUGCGUAGAUAUAUGGAGGA
rnacentral:rRNA from 1 species